rnacentral:sRNA from 1 species
CUUCUUCGAUUUGCUGCGGACAGAUGAAGUGAAUAUGGGUAUCGACCCCGCCGGCGGUAACGAUCAUGCCCUCGCCGGCGAUGAUUUCGGUGGCGCCGCCGAUUGCCAUUGUCACGCCAGGUUGAAUGUCGGGGUUGCCCGCCUUGCCGAUGGCGGCAAUCAGGCCGUUUUUCAGGCCAAUGUCGGCCUUGACGAUACCCCAGUGGUCGACGAUUACGGCGUUGGUGAUGACCGUGUCCAUGACAUCUGCAUGCAGGCGCUGUGACUGGCCCAUGCCGUCACG